rnacentral:rRNA from 1 species
AAACUUUGCAAUAAGCGAAAGCUUGACAGGGCUAUCCCGAGUGCCAUCCGCUGAGGAAGGCUUUUACCCAGUCUAGUAAGCUGGGGGAAUAAGGAGAGGGCAAGUCUGGUGUCAGCCGCCGCGGUAAUACCAGCUCUCCGAGUGGUGUGGAUGUUUAUUGGGCCUAAAGCAUCCGUAGCUGGCUGAGUUAGUCCCCUGUUAAAUCCACCGAAUCAAUCGUUGGAUUGCGGGGGAUACUGCUCGGCUAGGGGACGGGAGAGGCAGACGGUAUUUCCGGGGUAGGGGUGAAAUCCUAUAAUCCCGGGAAGACCACCAGUGGCGAAGGCUGUCUGCUAGAACGCGCCCGACGGUGAGGGAUGAAAGCUGGGGUAGCGAACCGG